UACGGAGGGUGCGAGCGUUGUCCGGAAUCAUUGGGCGUGAAGGGCGCGUAGGUGGCCCGGUGAGUCUUUGGUGAAAGCGCGGGGCUCAACCCUGCGUCGGCCAGGGAUACUGCCGCGGCUCGAGCACUGUAGAGGCAGGCGGAAUUCCGGGUGUAGCGGUGGAAUGCGUAGAGAUCCGGAAGAACACCGGUGGCGAAGGCGGCCUGCUGGGCAGUGGCUGACGCUGAGGCGCGACAGCGUGGGGAGCAAACAGG
rnacentral:rRNA from 1 species